rfam:Toxocara canis scaffold2475, whole genome shotgun sequence.
GGCCAGAUGGCCGACCGGUCUAAGGCGCAGGCAUAAGGCACCAGUCUCUUCGGAGGCGUGGGUUCGAAUCCCACUCUCGUCA